UACAGAGGGUGCGAGCGUUGCUCGGAAUCACUGGGCGUAAAGCGCACGUAGGCGGCUUUUUAAGUCAGAGGUGAAAUCCUGGAGCUCAACUCCAGAACUGCCUUUGAUACUGGAGAGCUUGAGUCCGGGAGAGGUGAGUGGAACUGCGAGUGUAGAGGUGAAAUUCGUAGAUAUUCGCAAGAACACCAGUGGCGAAGGCGGCUCACUGGCCCGGUACUGACGCUGAGGUGCGAAAGCGUGGGGAGCAAACAGG
rnacentral:rRNA from 1 species